CAAUAGCGUAUAUUAAAGUUGUUGCGGUUAAAAAGCUCGUAGUUGGAUUUCUGCUGAGGACGACCGGUCCGCCCUCCGGGUGAGCAUCUGGUUCGGCCUUGGCAUCUUCUUGGUGAACGUUGCUGCACUUGAUUGUGUGGUGCGGUACCCAGGACUUUUUACUUUGAGGAAAUUAGAGUGUUUCAAGCAGGCAUAUGCCUUGAAUACAUUAGCAUGGAAUAAUAAGAUAGGACCUCGGUUCUAUUUUGUUGGUUUCUAGAGCUGAGGUAAUGAUUAAUAGGGAUAGUUGGGGGCAUUCGUAUUUAACUGUCAGAGGUGAAAUUCUUGGAUUUGCUGAAGACUAACUACUGCGAAAGCAUUCGCCAAGGAUGUUUUUCAUUAAUCAGGGAACGAAAGUUAGGGGAUCAAAGACGAUCAGAU
rnacentral:rRNA from 1 species